GCAAGUCGAGCGGUAACAAUUCUAGCUUGCUAGAAGAUGACGAGCGGCGGACGGGUGAGUAAUGCUUGGGAAUCUGCCUUAGGGUGGGGGACAACAGUUGGAAACGACUGCGAAUACCGCAUGAUGUCUACGGACCAAAGGGGGCUUCGGCUCUCGCCCUUAGAUAGCUCAAGUGGGAUUAGCUUGUUGGUGAGGUAAUGGCUCACCAAGGCGACGAUCCCUAGCUGGUUUGAGAGGAUGAUC
rnacentral:rRNA from 1 species